rnacentral:rRNA from 2 species
GCAGUCGAACGAGUUCUGAUUAUUGAAAGGUGCUUGCAUCUUGAUUUAAUUUUGAACGAGUGGCGGACGGGUGAGUAACACGUGGGUAACCUGCCCUUAAGUGGGGGAUAACAUUUGGAAACAGAUGCUAAUACCGCAUAAAUCCAAGAACCGCAUGGUUCUUGGCUGAAAGAUGGCGUAAGCUAUCGCUUUUGGAUGGACCCGCGGCGUAUUAGCUAGUUGGUGAGGUAACGGCUCACCAAGGCAAUGAUACGUAGCCGAACUGAGAGGUUGAUCGGCCACAUUGGGACUGAGACACGGCCCAAACUCCUACGGGAGGCAGCAGUAGGGAAUCUUCCACAAUGGACGCAAGUCUGAUGGAGCAACGCCGCGUGAGUGAAGAAGGCUUUCGGGUCGUAAAACUCUGUUGUUGGAGAAGAAUGGUCGGCAGAGUAACUGUUGUCGGCGUGACGGUAUCCAACCAGAAAGCCACGGCUAACUACGUGCCAGCAGCCGCGGUAAUACGUAGGUGGCAAGCGUUAUCCGGAUUUAUUGGGCGUAAAGCGAGCGCAGGCGGUUUUUUAAGUCUGAUGUGAAAGCCCUCGGCUUAACCGAGGAAGUGCAUCGGAAACUGGGAAACUUGAGUGCAGAAGAGGACAGGUGGAACUCCAUGUGUAGCGGUGAAAUGCGUAGAUAUAUGGAAGAACACCAUGGGGAAGGCGGCUGUCUGGUCUGUAACUGACGCUGAGGCUCGAAAGCAUGGGUAGCGAACAGGAUUAGAUACCCUGGUAGUCCAUGCCGUAAACGAUGAAUGCUAGGUGUUGGAGGGUUUCCGCCCUUCAGUGCCGCAGCUAACGCAUUAAGCAUUCCGCCUGGGGAGUACGACCGCAAGGUUGAAACUCAAAGGAAUUGACGGGGGCCCGCACAAGCGGUGGAGCAUGUGGUUUAAUUCGAAGCAACGCGAAGAACCUUACCAGGUCUUGACAUCUUUUGAUCACCUGAGAGAUCAGGUUUCCCCUUCGGGGGCAAAAUGACAGGUGGUGCAUGGUUGUCGUCAGCUCGUGUCGUGAGAUGUUGGGUUAAGUCCCGCAACGAGCGCAACCCUUAUGACUAGUUGCCAGCAUUUAGUUGGGCACUCUAGUAAGACUGCCGGUGACAAACCGGAGGAAGGUGGGGAUGACGUCAAAUCAUCAUGCCCCUUAUGACCUGGGCUACACACGUGCUACAAUGGAUGGUACAACGAGUUGCGAGACCGCGAGGUCAAGCUAAUCUCUUAAAGCCAUUCUCAGUUCGGACUGUAGGCUGCAACUCGCCUACACGAAGUCGGAAUCGCUAGUAAUCGCGGAUCAGCACGCCGCGGUGAAUACGUUCCCGGGCCUUGUACACACCGCCCGUCACACCAUGAGAGUUUGUAACACCCGAAGCCGGUGGCGUAACCCUUA